UUACUUACCUGACAGGAGAGAUAACAUGAUCUUGAAGGUGAUUUUUCCAGGAUGAGGCUUAUCCAUUGCACUCUGGAUGUGCUAGUCCUGAGAUUUCCCAAAUGUGGGAAACAUUACUGCAUAAUUUGUGGUAGUGGGGGACUUUGUUUGCACUCUGA
ensembl:snRNA U1 U1 spliceosomal RNA